UACAGAGGUCCCGAGCGUUGUUCGGAUUCACUGGGCGUAAAGGGUGCGUAGGUGGCAUGGAAAGUUUGAUGUGAAAGCUCAGGGCUUAACCCUGAAAUGGCAUUGAAUACUGCUGUGCUGGAGGUUUGGAGGGGGGACUGGAAUUCUUGGUGUAGCAGUGAAAUGCGUAGAUAUCAAGAGGAACACCAGUGGCGAAGGCGAGUCCCUGGACAACACCUGACACUGAGGCACGAAAGCUAGGGGAGCAAACAGG
rnacentral:rRNA from 1 species